rnacentral:lncRNA from 1 species
CAGGAUUUCAGUUUGGGCCCGGCCCUGGGGGACAGCUCCUCUCUGCCCUCUGUGACAUCAGCUGAGGCCUUGCUCACAAUGCUGGCAAGCUGGUGCUGGCUGACAGCUGGGAGCACAGUGGAGCUCGUGGCCCGGGGGACCUUGGUCAUCCUGCGUGUGGCCGAGUGGGCUUCCUUUCAGCGUCAUGGCUGGUUCCAAAGAGUGAGAAAGUGACACUUGCCAGUCGUUUUCAAGGUUGGGCCUGAACCUGGCUGGAGUGUCAUUCCUGCCAUCAUAGAAGCCACAGAGUCCAGGUACAGCUACUGGCCGUUCCUACCAAAGACCUCAUCUUUUUGGGGGUUUUUUGAAUAAAACUGAUAUAUAUUUAAGGUGUAUGAUGUGCUUUGCUACUUGGAUACAUAGUGAAAUGGUUUCUACAAUACAGCUAAUAUGCCCACCUCCUCACAUACUUGUCUUUUUUUUCUUGGUACAAGCACCUAAAAUCUAUUCUCAGCGAAUUUCCCGUGUAUGAGACGGCCUUGUUAACUGUAGUCAUCCUGCGUGCUGCACGUUAGAUCUCUAGAUUGACUCAUCCUACUAAUGGCAGUUUGCACCCUUUGACCCCCCUCCCCCCCCAUUUCCCCAGCACCUGCCCCUGGUGACCACACAGGCCUCGGGAAACGCGCCACCUUUUAUGCUGGCAUCACCUCCUGGGCUAAAUAUCUUGUCCUUGAAGCACAUAUUGCGCAGCUCUUUCCCCAAGCCAGAACAACCCCAGACAGUUAAGACACGGGGCAAGAGCACACCACCGCUGGGAGAGUCGGGGCCAGCUGUCCCAAACGCUGGGCCCCCCUCUGUGGCCAGUGCAAGGGCUCUCCAUGGCUGGAGUUGCAGUGGAGUGUGUGCCUUUUUCUGGGGUGGGGUCCCUGGCUUUGAUCAGAUGCUCUAUGGGGCUCUCACCCAGAGAAGGGGUGACGUGAUCAUGACCACGGGUCUGAUCACGGCUCUGCAGUGUGGCUGUGAGAGAAGGAUAGUCUGUCCAGACUUGCCGAGCCCACCUCACAGGAGCCACGGUGCAUCACAUGCCCGCUCCCCACCGGCCGCUCAGCAGGAGGCCAGGAGUGCAGGCCUAGCGGCCACCUCUGCUGGCAGGAAGAUGUCUUCGCGAUUACAAGCUCCUCAGGACCAUUGGGGAGGGCUCCUGCGCCAAGGUGAAGCUGGCCCUGCACAUCCCGACCAGGACCAAGGUGGCCGUGAAAAUGAUCCCAAAGCAGGAGCAAAGCUCCUCCAGUGCCAAGAGACUUCUCUGUGAAGUGCACAGUUUGAGGACCUUGCGUCACCCCCACAUUGUAAAGCUGCUAGAGGUGAUCAAUGGUGAGGAGACUCUGUUUCUGGUUACAG